UAUAAACCAUAUACUGAAAGUGUUUUUUUUUAAAAAAAAAAUCUUGUCAAGCUAUAAAGCAAAAGCUCUCUCUGUAGUUGAAUAUUAGAGAGAAGUAGAAAAAUGGAUGCACCACAAUAUCAAGAGAUGUCUUAUCUUGAGCAUGUCAAACGUCGACGCGAGGAAAAAGGAUGCCUUUACGCUUGUGUGUUCGCAAUGUGUUGCUGCUUCUGUUGCUACGAGACCUGCGAGUGCUGUCUGGACAUGCUCUGCUGCUGUACUUGAUGUCCCUCCUAGCCAUGCCAACCCUGUGUUAAGCUAAAAAUGGAAUUUGUUUCCCUGUUUUCUCACACUCUGUUUCUUCCACGUCUCUUUUGUUACCUCCCACUGUGUGUUUGACAACUGUGAAGUUGAAUAAACUUGUGCUUUUAAGUCAUUUUCUAUUGAAA